rnacentral:tRNA from 1 species
GGUAAGAUGGCUGAGUGUGUAGGCGGUGGGUUGUAGCCCCAUGGACAGAGGUUCAAAUCCUCUUUUUACCA